GAUGAACGCUGGCGGUAUGCUUAACACAUGCAAGUCGAACGGACUCUUCGGAGUUAGUGGCGGACGGGUGAGUAACGCGUGGGAAUCUGGCUUUGGGUUCGGGACAACCACUGGAAACGGUGGCUAAUACCGGAUGUGCCGAGAGGUAAAAGAGAAAUUGCCUGAAGAUGAGCUCGCGUCUGAUUAGCUAGUUGGUGAGGUAAAGGCUCACCAAGGCAGCGAUCAGUAGCUGGUCUGAGAGGAUGACCAGCCACACUGGGACUGAGACACGGCCCAGACUCCUACGGGAGGCAGCAGUGGGGAAUUUUCCGCAAUGGGCGAAAGCCUGACGGAGCAAUACCGCGUGAGGGAAGAAGGCUCUUGGGUUGUAAACCUCUUUUCUUAGGGAAGAACAAAAUGACGGUACCUAAGGAAUCAGCAUCGGCUAACUCCGUG
rnacentral:rRNA from 1 species